GAUGAACGCUGGCGGCGUGCUUAACACAUGCAAGUCGAACGAUGAAGCCCAGCUUGCUGGGUGGAUUAGUGGCGAACGGGUGAGUAACACGUGAGUAACUGCCCUUAACUCUGGGAUAAGCCUGGGAAACUGGGUCUAAUACCGGAUAGGAGCGUCCACCGCAUGGUGGGUGUUGGAAAGAUUUAUCGGUUUUGGAUGGACUCGCGGCCUAUCAGCUUGUUGGUGAGGUAAUGGCUCACCAAGGCGACGACGGGUAGCCGGCCUGAGAGGGUGACCGGCCACACUGGGACUGAGACACGGCCCAGACUCCUACGGGAGGCAGCAGUGGGGAAUAUUGCACAAUGGGCGCAAGCCUGAUGCAGCGACGCCGCGUGAGGGAUGACGGCCUUCGGGUUGUAAACCUCUUUCAGUAGGGAAGAAGCGAAAGUGACGGUACCUGCAGAAGAAGCACCGGCUAACUACGUG
rnacentral:rRNA from 1 species